rnacentral:lncRNA from 1 species
AUUUUCUUUAAAAAUAGCAAGGUUGGGUUGUUAAUAUUGGGUUAUUGAUGUUGGGUUAUUGAGAUAUGACCCAGUGGGUGGGUUACUUCUCCCGUUAAAUCCAGAUGAUCAAAGUGAUCCGGCAAACUCGUUAAUGAGGAUUGUUACAGCUGUGUAUCAAGUCUAGCCGGUGUUGAGUGGAAUUAGCGACUUUUAGCUGGACAAAUGGGCAAGGCGUUGUGGCUGAUCAAAAGCGAUGAUUCCUUGAGGCUGCAUGGCCCUGAGAGUACUUAUCCCACCACCAGUGUACCGAAUGCAGGCAGCUACAAAUUGAAAUGCUGGAACCAAUAUGGCUGAAUAUCUCUGCCAGGCGACCAAAAGAACAAGAGACCCCAUCCCUUUGUUCUGACUCUCGGGGACAAUCGCCUCUACUCCCUGACAUUCAACAUUGUGAAUGGGCAGGAUCUGGAGCAGAAAACAUUAUGUUUCGUUGUUGUUGUUUUACAUGAAUUCAUCUUGAAAAUUGAUACCUGGGAGUAGAUGGUAAAGUUUUUACUUUUCUUCAGCCCCGUUCCCCAGCUCUAAUUGGUAGGUCUGCUGUGAUUGUACAAUAAUGGAUUCUGCUUCUAAAGUGUUGGUUUAUUUGUGUGUUCCUUAUUUUUUGUUUAUCUUUUGCAUGACUUCAUUUUGUAGCUGAAAUUAAUAUCUGAA